GAUGAACGCUGGCGGCGUGCCUAAUACAUGCAAGUCGAGCGAACAGAUGAGAAGCUUGCUUCUCUGAUGUAGCGGCGGACGGGUGAGUAACACGUGGGUAACCUACCUACAAGACUGGGAUAACUCCGGGAAACCGGGGCUAAUACCGGAUAAUAUUUUGAACCGCAUGGUUCAAUAGUGAAAGACGGUUUCGGCUGUCACUUAUAGAUGGACCCGCGCCGCAUUAGCUAGUUGGUAAGGUAACGGCUUACCAAGGCGACGAUACGUAGCCGACCCGAGAGGGUGAUCGGCCACACUGGAACUGAGACACGGUCCAGACUCCUACGGGAGGCAGCAGUAGGGAAUCUUCCGCAAUGGGCGAAAGCCUGACGGAGCAACGCCGCGUGAGUGAUGAAGGUCUUCGGAUCGUAAAACUCUGUUGUUAGGGAAGAACAAAUUUGUUAGUAACUGAACAAGUCUUGACGGUACCUAACCAGAAAGCCACGGCUAACUACGUGCCAGCCGCCGCGGUAA
rnacentral:rRNA from 1 species